rnacentral:rRNA from 1 species
UACGUAGGGUGCAAGCGUUGUCCGGAAUUAUUGGGCGUAAAGAGCUCGUAGGCGGUUUGUCGCGUCUGCUGUGAAAACUGGAGGCUCAACCUCCAGCCUGCAGUGGGUACGGGCAGACUAGAGUGCGGUAGGGGAGAUUGGAAUUCCUGGUGUAGCGGUGGAAUGCGCAGAUAUCAGGAGGAACACCGAUGGCGAAGGCAGAUCUCUGGGCCAUAACUGACGCUGAGGAGCGAAAGCAUGGGGAGCGAACAGG